CUUGCUGGAGUUUUUUGCCGAUCUGAGGUUUUCUAAAGGGACAACGACAGCUAACAGAAAUAGUCCAGAGGUCCCAGCAAGUGGUCUGCUUGUAGGCUGCUCCCUGGUCAACAUGGGUGAAUACCUUGGUGUAAUCCCCAGUUUGGAUCUUAAAAGGGAUGAGCAAAAGCCUGCAUGCCGUGCCUAUGAAAAUCUGCACAAGUGGAGGUGACCUGCCGCUGCUGAAAUGCACUACCCACUGCCUCACUGUCCUCAUAUCCACUGUUUGGGCUCCCUAAACACUCAACAAGUGUCAGUGGGUGACGUUUUUUUCCACAAGGAGGAAUUCAGUGACAUAAUUUUUCCUUCAUUGGGAUUUCCAUGUCAGACACCAUUCUAUCAGACUGUCCCUCUGAUGCCAUCUAUUUCAUGGCAACCACGUGUAAUGAAAUAUUGGUAGGAAGAUCCAGCGUCUACUGUCAUAGCACUGACAUCUGUCUCUGACAUCAUGGGCCAACGCUGUAAAAUUGGAGGCAUUACUUUCAGAGCCACCCUUGUACAGGGCUCAACAAGUCUUCUGCUCAUAAUUCUCUCGGAAGAUAACAAUUUAUUCUUAGGAGACAUGACCAAAAGUGGCAGCAAUUGUUUUGGAGACUGGAUUUUGGAGCUGUUAAAAACAUUUCAAUCAUCUGUACAUUACUUGAGAAACUGAAGUAAUCAGUUCUAUAAUAGCAUGUGCUGGCAGUGCUCUUGGCUUGUUUCUGCCCUGUUUCAGGGGAGUUGUGGGGAAGAGGGGAUAUCACACACAGAGGCACCACUAAAACGCUGUCUGCUGUGUGCAGCUCUGUAUUUCCCCUGAUGAUUGUGCAUGAACCUCAAACUGACUCCAGAAAAUUACAACUGCAGCUCAUCAGUUAAACUCAGUUUCCUGCUAUGACAAAGAACUGAACAGUCAUAACCAAAGGAAGAAAAUUUUGAGCUAUUUUGGGACAAGAAAAAGGCAAUGUGGCUUUUGAAAUGAGAAAGGCAUCUUCCAGUGAAGGAAACAGACUUUUGUGACAGAACUGUGGAGCUGCUGUUUCUCUGGACGACAGUUUCAGGCUGCAUUUCUAUUUAAUUGGCAUCAAGCCCACCUUUGGAGUUACACUUUCCUCUGAGUUUUAAUUUGUAGCUAAAACUAUGCUCCAGUGACUGAACUUCAUAUUCCCUCACCUACUCCUUUUUCUCUCAGAAAGAAACCUCGCUCACUCAGGUGUCCUCACCAGGCUGUUCCUUGCCUGGCUCCUCACCAUGUCUCCUCUGCUUCACUGCCAGCACUGCAGCUGAGGGGAUAAACCCAGGCAGCAAGCAAUCAGACAACUGGCACAAAGAUAAAGGUAGCUUAAGUUUAACGCAGAAGCUUACUGGGCACAAAAAUAAACGUGAAAAAAGUUUGCUCUCUUGACUGUCAUCCUUCUUUAUCUCACCUCUCAGUUGCUCUUCAGCUGGGCAGCAUUUCCUGGGUUAUCACAAGGUGAGUUUAGGGAUACAAUAACCUAAAAUCGUUUGAAGUAAAGAGGUUUUCCAUUUCAAAUGAGUUUCCCUUAAGCGUACACAGAAAACAACCACAGACAUCCCAGCAACAAAGAAGACACCUUCCAAAGUACUGCUUUUCCAAACCAUAGCUGCACAAGAAUCGCAGAAUAGUUGGGUUGGAAGGGACCUUAAAGCCCAUCCAGUUCCAGUGCCACACACCAGCUCAGAGCCCCAUCCAGCAUGGCCUUGAGCACCUCCAGGAUUGGGACACCCACAGCUUCUCUGGGCAACGACAGAUGCAUGCUAAAUGGAACUCAGCCUUAAUUUGAAGUAAACCCUGCCUCUCUGGGUAAGUCCAGACUGUGGUUACUGUCUGUGUACCUAAAUUCCCUUUGGGUAACUUGCUCUGUUAAGACUUGGAGGCUGCGUGAGGCCUUACAAAAUGAAACCCAGCUAAAAGCAGGGGAGAACAAGAGCUGCUCUGCUAGGAAAAAGGUGUGAUGGAAAAGCUGUUGCUGUGAGGUUGUCAUCAAGUUAAGACUCCUUUAGAGGAUGCUACUCUCUUUUCUUGACAAUUCUGCAAGAAUCUUGUGUCACCUACAGGAGGGCAGGAAGAAUAGCUUGGUACAGACUCCCUGGGCCUGACACAUGGCAUUGCUUCAUCCUGAGCAGUUGGGGAUGGGGAUAUAACAGUCAGAUGGAAGGAGUUCUACAACAUCUUCAGAGGGAGUAAAAUUUGAAGUUUGAGGCCAGGUCCUUUGUUUUACUUCUUUUUAUUCCUGAGAAAUACAUAUACGUAUUUUCAUGUGUAUAUACGUGUGAGACAGAGGGAAAAAAAUGGAGGGCAAACAGAGAAGGUUAUCCUAUUUGUUGAUUUAUAUCUUACUUCCAGUAACAGAAGCUGCUCCUUCCUUCUCUCCUUGCUGCAGCUGUGGCCAUUACAGUAUCUGCAGUAGUAAUGGGAUAGUGAUAUUAACAAAUGUAAAGCUCAAUUGCUCUAAACAGUGAUUAAAAGAUUGUUGCUCAGAAACAGGUGAUUUUGUGCGCAGUUCAAAUGUAUGUACACUUUUCCUAACCAUGCGCUAGUGAAAUAAGCACACGUGUUUAGGAGCCCUUUCCAAUUAACAUUAACUUGUUUUUAUGCCUGCACAUUUCACACACCAUUGGCUGUCAGUAGAUUGUAUGAAAUUUGUCAGCAUAAAAGCUCCUCUAUUUCUCCAUAUGCAAUGACAAGCUAAUGAGGACGAUACAGAGAAAAAUGAAUAAAUAGGUUCUCUUACAAAAAUUGUUAAAUUUACUGAAAAUAUUUUAAUUGAGAAACAGGCAUCUAAGUGAAAAAAAGUUACUGAUGCUGAUCAUGAAAACCAGAAUUGGACGGACAACUUUACCAAAUGGAUACCUAAGAAUCAAAGAGAAACUAGCUCACUGAAGCAGUCCUAUGUGGAUGCCUUGGAUGUGUCAGAGUACUCUGGGUGACAGUAAAUAGUUGUAUUGUGGCAAUUAAACUGAGGUGCCAACAGCAGUUUUCUGACAAUUAUUUCUAACUGUACAAGA